UUCAAAACUGACGAGCCAGAGUAUUGUAGAGGGUCGUAGAAUUUCAUGUGGUGCGGUGAAACGCGUAGAUAUAGGAAGACACCCCAGUGGCUAAGGGCUACACCUGGAAUGAUUCUGACACUGAGGUGAGAAAGCGUGGGGAGCACACAGGAUUAGAUCCCCUGGUAGUCCACGCCGUAAACAAUGUCAUCUAGGCGUUGGGAACCUUGAGCUCUUAGUGGCGCAGCUAACGCAUUAAGUUGCCCCCUCUGGGGAGUACGGCCCCAAGGUUAAAACUCAAAUGAAUUUCGGUGGGCCCGCACAAGCGGUGGAGCAUGUGGUUUAAUUUGAAGCAACGCGAAGAACCUUAACCAGGCCUWCACAUCCAAUGACCUUUCUAGAAAUAGAUUGGUGCCUUCGGGAACAUUUAGCCAGUUGUCCMAUUUCUGUCGUCACCUCGUGUCGUAAGAUUUUGGGUUAAGUCCCAUAACGAGCGCAACCCUUSUCCUUAKUUACCAGCASKUAAUGGUGGGCACUCUAAGGAGACURCCGGUGCCAAUCCGGAGGAAGGUGGGGAUUACKUCAAGUCAUCAUGGCCCUUACGUCCUGGGCUACCYACGUUUUACAAUGGUCGGUACAAAGGGUUGCCUCCCCGCGAGGUGGAGCUAAUCCCAGAAGAYYGAUCGUAGUCCGGAUCGC
rnacentral:rRNA from 1 species